GACCCGCCGAGUCUCAAAGCAGCGACCUUGCUGUGAGACUGCCCAUGUUUUAACUUAAAUAGUUAAAAUCAAUAUUUUGUGGAAUAACAUUAAUUUUCAGUGACAAAAAAUGAAACGUUUGUUAUUCUGGUCAAUAAUGAAACAAAUCAAAACCGUAGACUAGCUCUUAAAAUGGAUUACAUGUCAUGAGGUUACCUGUUGUUUUACUAAAUCUUGUGAAAUUAUAAAUAUUUAAGCAUCAUUAGGAAUGGCCAGUUUUAUAUAAAUAAUGUAUUUGCCAUAAAAUAUUUAAAAACCACUUUUGCUUUUGCUCCAUUCACCAGACAAACCGAAAAUCUUCACGUAUUUGCCUGUAGCGCCACUUGCUGGUCAGUGUGUUUAUAAUAUAUCGUCGAGUUAAGACUAUUUGGGGCUGUUGACACACCUCAGAGUAAAUAUAGCUGUUAAUAAACAUAAAACACUCCUGGCUGAGCAAAGGGUAUUAUAAUUUACGUACUUUGUUUUGUUUAAACCAUUGUACGGUGAGAUUGUGACAUUUUCAUGUCUCGGUUAACGUAGUGGAUUUACUGACCGUCAAACAGAAUCUGGACAGGUGAACUAAUUAACGUCAGCCCAAAUUUAGCUUUCGCUCUGUUGUCUUCAAACUGCGAUACCAUCGUGUCAUCUGAUGCGGUUUUGCUCGGAUGAUCCCACCAAAUGUUGUUUAAACUCCCUUUAAUCCAACAAAAUCUGAAAGACGAACUCGCUGAAGCUGCUCGGUCUUGGCAUCACAUGACAGGCCAGAAAGACUGCGGAAGGAUCUGCGCUCCUUGAAGGCCACUGUUGGAAGCAUAUCUUCCUCGUCCCUCAGCUCCAGCUUUGGCGUUUUUCCUGGACCUGCUAGCCUGAUUACAGGGUUCACGUUCUCACAAG